rnacentral:rRNA from 1 species
GAGAGUUAAACAGUACGUGAAAUUGUUGAAAGGGAAACGAUUGAAGUCAGUCAUACCAACGGGAAAUCAACCUCUUGAGUUUGGUCUCGUGGGUUUCGAAGAGUUUAAAAGCCUUCGGAUUUUCGAGAUUGGGCUCUUCUGGUGUACUUUCUCGUACGGUUAGUCAACAUCGGUUUUGAAUGUCAUAAAAUGACUGGAGGAAUGUGGCUUCGAUCUCGUAUUGAAGUGUUAUAACCUUUGGUAGAUGUGAUGUUUGAGACCGAGGAUUGCAACGGAUACCCUUCUGGGCUAUUCGUCUGAUCUCUGAAACGUUGCCUUGAUGUCGAACACUCGCAUACAUGUUAGGGUAUUACGGUCAAAAGGUUAGAACGGAUUAAAUUCGUUAAGGAUGUUGACGUAAUGACUUUAAACGA